rnacentral:rRNA from 1 species
UGAGGAAUAUUGGUCAAUGGCCGGAAGGCUGAACCAGCCAAGUCGCGUGAGGGAAGACGGCCCUACGGGUUGUAAAACCUCUUUUGUCAGGGAGCAAACCUCUCCACGCGUGGGGAGUCGAGAGUACCUGAAGAAAAAGCAUCGGCUAACUCCGUGCC